UAGACCAUAGUCAAUAUCUAUGACAUAUGAGUUGCAUUCAUAAAGAGUUCAAAAGAACUGGUUUAC
rnacentral:tRNA from 1 species